rnacentral:rRNA from 1 species
GGAGCACGCCGCGUGAGUGAUGAAGGCUUUCGGGUCGUAAAACUCUGUUGUUAGGGAAGAACAAGUGCUAGUUGAAUAAGCUGGCACCUUGACGGUACCUAACCAGAAAGCCACGGCUAACUACGUGCCAGCAGCCGCGGUAAUACGUAGGUGGCAAGCGUUAUCCGGAAUUAUUGGGCGUAAAGCGCGCGCAGGUGGUUUCUUAAGUCUGAUGUGAAAGCCCACGGCUCAACCGUGGAGGGUCAUUGGAAACUGGGAGACUUGAGUGCAGAAGAGGAAAGUGGAAUUCCAUGUGUAGCGGUGAAAUGCGUAGAGAUAUGGAGGAACACCAGUGGCGAAGGCGACUUUCUGGUCUGUAACUGACACUGAGGCGCGAAAGCGUGG